rnacentral:tRNA from 1 species
UGUAUGUUGUAAAAUUUAUGAUAAAAAUUUUAAGCAGGCAUUUUCGCCUGCACAUACAA